UGGGGAAUAUUGCACAAUGGGCGCAAGCCUGAUGCAGCCAUGCCGCGUGUGUGAAGAAGGCCUUCGGGUUGUAAAGCACUUUCAGCGAGGAGGAAGGUGGUGAGCUUAAUACGCUCAUCAAUUGACGUUACUCGCAGAAGAAGCACCGGCUAACUCCGUGCCAGCAGCCGCGGUAAUACGGAGGGUGCAAGCGUUAAUCGGAAUUACUGGGCGUAAAGCACACGCAGGCGGUUUGUUAAGUCAGAUGUGAAAUCCCCCGGGCUCAACCUGGGAACUGCAUUUGAAACUGGCAAGCUAGAGUCUCGUAGAGGGGGGUAGAAUUCCAGGUGUAGCGGUGAAAUGCGUAGAGAUCUGGAGGAAUACCGGUGGCGAAGGCGGCCCCCCUGGACGAAGACUGACGCUCAGGUGCGAAAAGCGUGGGGAGCAAAACAGGAUUAGAUACCCCUGGUAGUCCACGCUGUAAAACGAUGUCGAUUUUGGAGGUUGUGCCCCUUGAGGCGUGGCUUCCGGAGCUAACGCGUUAAAUCGACCGCCUGGGGGAGUACGGCCGCAAGGUUAAAACUUAAAGGAAUUGAC
rnacentral:rRNA from 1 species